UACGGAGGGGGCUAUCGUUGUUCGGAAUUACUGGGCGUAAAGCGCACGUAGGCGGAUUGGAAAGUCAGGGGUGAAAUCCCGGGGCUCAACCCCGGAACUGCCUUUGAUACUGCAAAUCUCGAGUCCGGAAGAGGUGAGUGGAAUUCCUAGUGUAGAGGUGAAAUUCGUAGAUAUUAGGAAGAACACCAGUGGCGAAGGCGGCUCACUGGUCCGGUACUGACGCUGAGGUGCGAAAGCGUGGGGAGAAAACAGG
rnacentral:rRNA from 1 species